GCCGGGGUAGCUCAGUUGGUAGAGCAACUGAUUCGUAAUCAGUAGGUCGUGGGUUCGAUUCCCAUCUCCGGCU
rnacentral:tRNA from 3 species